AGCGAACGCUGGCGGCAGGCCUAAAACAUGCAAGUCGAACGCCGUAGCAAUACGGAGUGGCAGACGGGUGAGUAACACGUGGGAACGUGCCCUUUGGUUCGGAACAACACAGGGAAACUUGUGCUAAUACCGGAUAAGCCCUUACGGGGAAAGAUUUAUCGCCAAAGGAUCGGCCCGCGUCUGAUUAGCUAGUUGGUGAGGUAACGGCUCACCAAGGCUACGAUCAGUAGCUGGUCUGAGAGGAUGAUCAGCCACACUGGGACUGAGACACGGCCCAGACUCCUACGGGAGGCAGCAGUUAGGAAUCUUGGACAAUGGGCGCAAGCCUGAUCCAGCCAUGCCGCGUGAGUGAUG
rnacentral:rRNA from 1 species